rnacentral:rRNA from 1 species
UACGUAGGGACCGAGCGUUGUCCGGAAUCAUUGGGCGUAAAGCGCGCGUAGGCGGCCAGAUAAGUCCGGUGUGAAAGUCACAGGCUCAACCUGUGAAUGCCGCUGGAAACUGUCUGGCUAGAGUCCGGAAGGGGCGAGUGGAAUUCCUGGUGUAGCGGUGAAAUGCGCAGAUAUCAGGAGGAACACCAAUGGCGAAGGCAGCUCGCUGGGACGGUACUGACGCUGAGGCGCGAAAGCGUGGGGAGCAAACAGG